UACGGAGGGGGCUAGCGUUGUUCGGAAUUACUGGGCGUAAAGCGCACGUAGGCGGCUUUGUAAGUUAGAGGUGAAAGCCCAGGGCUCAACCCUGGAAUUGCCUUUAAGACUGCAUCGCUUGAACAUCGGAGAGGUAAGUGGAAUUCCGAGUGUAGAGGUGAAAUGCGUAGAGAUUAGGAAGAACACCAGUGGCGAAGGCGACUUACUGGACUGUAACUGACGCUGAGGCAGUGAAAAGCGUGGGGAGCAAACAGG
rnacentral:rRNA from 1 species